rnacentral:rRNA from 1 species
UACGGAGGAUCCAAGCGUUAUCCGGAUUUAUUGGGUUUAAAGGGUGCGUAGGCGGCCUAUUAAGUCAGUGGUGAAAGCCUGGAGCUUAACUCCAGAACUGCCAUUGAUACUGAUGGGCUUGAGUAUAGUUGAGGUGGGCGGAAUGUGUCAUGUAGCGGUGAAAUGCUUAGAUAUGACACAGAACACCAAUUGCGAAGGCAGCUUACUACACAAAUAUUGACGCUGAGGCACGAAAGCGUGGGGAUCAAACAGG